GGCCCACUGGCCGGGAGCCCGGGCAACAUCACGGUAGCUCUGUGGAGCCCUCCCAGUUCCCUGGUUGGGUCCGUACAUGCAGGCCCAGGCCUCUGCCACCUCACAGGAAUCAGUGAUGAGCUGAAGUAGAUACCAGCAAGCUGUGUGCCCCCAAAGCUGGCAUGUUAGGACCAUGGAGAGGAGCAGCAUGCCCCCAGGCAGCCACUCAGAGGGGCUUUGUAACAGAAGCACACAGGACCAUUGCAGACAAUUCAAGUGCUCUAAUAUAUCUCAUCAUCACGUCGUGCCACCCUGUCUACCUGCAAUUGUGUUUCUUCAGAGCAUCAAAUAAGGAGUCAGGGGCACAGUGAGACCCCCACACAGAAGGUUGAGGCCACGCCACUGACCAGCUGCAGGCCACACGGCAGAGGAGACUGGCCGUAGUCCUGGUCGCCCGAGUGCCAUCGAUUGGGGCUGCCACCACCAGCCCAGUGCUGCACCAGCACUGGCCACCAUUCCUGGUUCCCCACAGCAAGCCUAUAUGACAGGCGAUGGUGUCUCCAUUUUACAGACAAGGAAGCGGACGCCAGGGAGGGCAAGGGCUUGGUUCAAGGGUAGGCAAACAGUGCUGGUGACAACAGCAAGUAGGAACGCAGGCCCUGGUGAAGCCCUUCCUGUGAACCAGAUGCAGAUUGACAGAGCAGUGCCCGAGAUCCCCAUGUAUCCUAGAACCACACGGUUUUCUGUGUGCCCGGAAGCCACACGCCCGAGGACCUGCGGACAGGUGCAAAGAGGAUGACCUCGGGAACGGCGAUUCUUGAGGUGCCCUUUGGACCCCGAAUGACAGUGUUUGCUGCUCGUCCUCAGGCCAGAGCACUUUAAAUAAAAACAACACUCACAUUCUUGUGUUUGUAUAAAAGAUAUUUACUUCAAUUAUCACACCUACGGUGCUAGUGAAUAAUAAUACAUGGUGUGAGUCUCAUACAGUGAUAUUGCUUCUCCGUAUUAUAUAGGGACCGUUGUACAGUGCUGAGAACAAACAUCGUAUGGCUAACCAAAGACAGAGGGACAACACCAAGGGGCCGACGGGUGCCUCCCCCACCCCUACGCCAGCCAGGUCAACUUUGACUCUUAAUGUAGAAAAACAAAUAGCAAGAAAAUGUUACCAGAGAGAUGUCACACAGCAACACACCAGAGGCAUCUCAAAGCGAUUUGUACAAAAAAAAAAAAAAAAAGAUGCCUUUUUUUUUUUCCUUUUUUCUUUUUUGGUCAAUUGGGUCUCUGUGAGGAUUGGAGAAAAAAAUCUGUGAUUGUGAGGAUGAACAAGCUCUAGAAAGAUCUAAGACUUGGUGCGUUACAGAAAAUAUAAAAUACUGCUAAAAUGUAAGACGUGACAAAAUGCUGGAGUGGGGGUGGGGUGGGGGGAGCUGAGCUUAUAAAGAGUUUUCCGGAAGAUUCCGCCACCCUGUGAGUGUGUCUUGUGCUGUUAGUAGUCUGGACAGGAGCGUGGUGCUACCCGCUUUCAAGGCAAGCAGCAAAGAGUUAUUGCACAAACACAAAGAACUAGGUCUCUUAUUCAAUGCAAAGGGAUGUGGGGAAAACCACCUUCUUUUUACCCCCACUUUUAUUUUAUAACAAGCUAUUCUCCAAUGUUUUAAGAAUUUUGGGUGAAUUCUCACAUCUCCAGAAUACACGGGAUUUUUUUUUUCCAAGAGGUCUCAGAUGGGGGUACGUGAGAUGCCCGUUUUCUCAAGGGAAGAGGCAGAAGAUGGUUUGAGAGAGAGAAAUGCAUAGACUAAUUAGAGAAAAAUGAAAAAAAAAAAAGGCUUCUGGGGAGAUGGGGACCAUUGUUUCAGUGGAGGGUUUCUUUCAAAGAGAGAACAAAAUCAGGGCCCCCGGCAAUCUUGGAGAAGGGGAGGUGACGAUAUGGAAAGAGAUGCUCUUCCCAGCCUACCUUGGGGUGAGCAGGGCCCUUGCCUUGGCCUGGGGUAAGUUUCCUUCUGCUGGGCCCAUGGGAUCGAGGCAGGGCGCCUCACCUUCACACCCGAUUGGCAACAACUGGGUGUCCUGCUGGCUGAGCUUGGGGCCACAGCAAGCAAUCUCCACACCCAACCUUCCUCCACAUUGAACCACCUAUAGGGGAAAGGGGCCCUCUGCCUAUGAUCUCCUAGGUGAGCCCUCAAGCCACAGCCUGGUACUACAAAACACUGUUGCUUUGAAAGAUGGUUUUGACCAACUUUGUACGCAAGAAAAACAACAACAACAAAAAACCAACCAAAACAUAUCAACCCGUGCGGGCCUUGCAAGAAAUCACUCUCUCGCUUGGAGGUAAAGUCUUGGCCAGGCCACCGCGCCCUCUCUGACCACGGCUCGCCGAAACUUCAUGAA